rnacentral:tRNA from 1 species
UUAUUUAGGUGUAAAAUUGCAUUAAAAUUUUUGAUAUUUUAGGAAAUGAAUAGUUAUUAUUAAAUAUU